GGCUAUGAUAAGAAAUGGAAAUUCGAUAAAAAUCAGAUUGACUUGGUUGAGGGAACAAAAAGAGAAGGGAUCUAAAACAAUGAGAUAUACUCCAUGUGCCGUUUAGAAGAAAGUACUCUAAAUAUAGGAAGUACUCCACAUCUAAGAAAAUUAGAGCUAUUGACUUCUUGUGUUAGAAACAACUUCGAACGCGAACUUGUGCUUUGGAAACUAUGAAUGACUUGCGUGUUUGGUAGAAGUAUAUAAUACAUUCUCAAUUGUAUACUUAGCCACUGGAACAAUCAGUAGUUCAACAUAAUGUGCAAGUCAAGAGAAAAGACGGCAUGAAUUACCAUCAAAACAGUAACUUUGAUACUAGAUGGCGAGACGUGAAAAAUUAACAAUGGGAAUAAGGAAAUCACACGGCUCUUUUAAUGCUUUAACGUAUUUGGCAUUUCUGUUAAUGACAUCUUUGACAUUAAGGAGGUCAGCAACCGCUUGUCCUGUGUCAUGUUCAUGUCAUCUCACGUGGUCGGAAUUUUCCGAGAGGAACGUUCGGUUUUUGAACUGUAGUGAGAUGAUCAACAUAUGGCAAGCCGACAAUCGUUUUAUGAAUAUAAGUGAAGGUUUUGAGAUGAUGACUUUGAGCGGAAAACAGAUAGAAAACGUCAGCGAAGAAUACUUGAUGUACAUAGGCAGAAACAUUACAGAGCUGCAAAUGAAAAAGACAGACUCCACUCAGUUGGAAAACUUGGGAAAUUACUUUGAUAACUUAGUGUAUCUUAAUCUAGUAUCUAAUAAUAUUGAAUAUUUACCUAAAGGUACAUUUGCUAGAUUGGGACUACUGGAGCGUAUUUCGUUCGCAUACAAUAGAUUGACGAUCGUUAAAGGAAAUUCCUUUUAUGGUUUGGACCAUCUGGUUCGAUUUAAUUUGUCUCAUAAUCAUCUCAUCGAAGUUGUCAGUGAUUGGUUUAGGGAUAUGUCGCGAACUAUAGAAAUAGUAGAUCUCUCGUACAAUGAAAUACACAUACUUCAAGAUGGUGACUUUCACUUUCUGAGGAAUCUGAAAGAGUUGCGUUUGGAUCACAAUCAUUUGGUACAUCUACAUGACAUGGCUUUCCUGGGAAUAAUCUCAUUGGAUAGUCUCCGGCUUGAUGAGAACCAAUUAAUGCAACCACCUUCUCUGGCUCUUCAAAAGAUCAGCAAGAUAGAUACGGUUGACCUUAGCGCAAAUAGAUUCCACAUAUUACAUUCAAAUAGUUUUUAUAACACCACUGUUGGUGAGCUUAAAUUAAACUCUAUGCGUUAUCUGACUUUGAUUGAUGCAACAGCGUUCGAUAACUUGCCAGAGCUUCGACUCUUGGAAAUAUGUUACAAUAAAUAUCUUUCGUUUAUUGAUCCCAAUUCGUUCGUCAGAACUCCUAAAUUAACAACAUUACUUUUACAUCAUAAUAAUCUAAGUACGAUCGAAGAAUCAACUAUUACUGGGGUGUCAUCCCUAGAAAGAAUCGAUGUUCGAGGAAACAAUUUUGUGUGUGAUUGUUCACUUAAGUGGCUCAUUAAAAUUGCCAAUCAUCAACAACAAACUGACUCGAGAUUCACUGACAUUCCAACGAUGGCUUGUAGUUAUCAAGGCAGCACAACAAAAACAAAUUUAGUCGAUAUCAAUAUCGAUGAUAUAAGCGAUGUUUGUGCUCCAAGAAUUCUCCAGGUCCUUCUCCCGGGCUUGAUAAAAACUAGCCCUGGUAAUCAUGUGUCGUUAUCCUGUCGAGCAUUUGGUAGACCAGCCCCUAAUAUCCAGUGGAAGAUUCCAUCACAACAGGGCGCGGGGACAAAUGCGCCCAGUGUCAUAUCUGGUCAUGUAAACUUGGGCAAUAACGGAACAUUAUCAAUUGGGGACGUCUUCACGAAUGAUGGUGGUGUUUAUAAGUGUACGGCUAAAAAUACUGAAGGAGAGGCCGAAGCGUCUGUCAAAAUCCAAGUGGGUACACUCAAAGGAAGUGUCAUCGUGCUUGCCCUGACGGAAAAUUCCGUCAUGCUUACGUGGCAUGGUAUAUCAUACCAACAUGAGCAUAAAUUGACAGUGAGGAAGAUCCACAUCAAUCUGAACAUCACCAUAGCUACUGUCCACAUUAAGCCUUACAUGAGGAGCUACACAAUCAGUGACCUGAAACCACUCACCACCUAUCAAGCGUGUCUCACGUUUAUUGACAUAGAAAAGGAUGUGAGGAUCAACUGCACGGACUUUAUUACGAAAGAACCUAACUUCAGCAAAGGUCCGAUCGGCCAUUCUGUCAAUAUGAUAAUCGGGUUCAGUAUUGGGACGGUCUGUUUGGUGUUUCUCUUGGCUUGUGUGUCGUCGUGCUUAAUACGACGCUACAAUGAAAGACAACGCAAACACGAUGACUAUUUCGCGGACCAUAUGUCAGAGGUAUUUGCCAACACAAGUCUUGACAACAUCUCGGACGUCAGUAGACCCAUCACAUAUGAAAACUUUGGCGCAUCGAGCGAUUGUUUCGAUAUUGACGAUAUUGAAGAAAUACGGAGCUCAGUCGCGGAGGCGUCGGGAUACUCAAGAUAAAUCAUCGUUAGAAUAUUAGGGCCCAUGAGACACAAUGGUCCUAUCAUGAAGCCGAUUGCCAAGAUAAAUGAUCUCAAGCAAAGGUCUUUAUAAAUCAAACAAACGAUAAUGCUUGAACAAAAAGAUAAAUCAUCUAAAGAAAGACAAUCUAUAUUUUCCUAUUUUGUGCUUGAUUUGUAGAGUAUGUUUUAUAGACUAUUUUUGUUGUAAAUAUUACCUGAGACUAACAUAAAAUAUAAAAGUCUCAGAUAUAACACACUGAUCGAGAGAAAAUUGGGCGAGAAUCAUUAAUUCUAAAAAUGGUAUAUCAUCUUACAUGAAAUCCUCUUGAAGGAACACUUGGCUUCUAACGGAUUAGAAAUGAAUAAUACAGUGUAUGCAAGGGGAAACCCAAGUGCAACAUUGCAACAUUUCGACUUCAAUAAUGGCCCAAAUACAUUAAGGUUGUCUUACAUAUCAUGCGAUGGAAUUAAAGUACAUUACUUUAGCAUGUUAUGAAUAUGAUUGAUGAAUGUCUUAUUUAUAGGAUUGAACUUGUACAUAGUCUAAGAUGCCAAUGGUCUAUUCGUGUAUAUGAGAAAUGUAAAUAUAUUUAAC
rnacentral:misc_RNA from 1 species